UCCGAUAUAGUCUAACGGUUAGGAUACGUGGCUCUCACCCACGAGGUCCGGGUUCGAUUCCCGGUAUCGGAA
rnacentral:tRNA from 1 species